rnacentral:rRNA from 1 species
CCUAGGAAAUUGCCCUGAUGUGGGGGAUAACCAUUGGAAACGAUGGCUAAUACCGCAUGAUGCCUACGGGCCAAAGAGGGGGACCUUCGGGCCUCUCGCGUCAGGAUAUGCCUAGGUGGGAUUAGCUAGUUGGUGAGGUAAGGGCUCACCAAGGCGACGAUCCCUAGCUGGUCUGAGAGGAUGAUCAGCCACACUGGAACUGAGACACGGUCCAGACUCCUACGGGAGGCAGCAGUGGGGAAUAUUGCACAAUGGGCGCAAGCCUGAUGCAGCCAUGCCGCGUGUGUGAAGAAGGCCUUCGGGUUGUAAAGCACUUUCAGUCGUGAGGAAGGUAGUGUAGUUAAUAGCUGCAUUAUUUGACGUUAGCGACAGAAGAAGCACCGGCUAACUCCGUGCCAGCAGCCGCGGUAAUACGGAGGGUGCGAGCGUUAAUCGGAAUUACUGGGCGUAAAGCGCAUGCAGGUGGUUUGUUAAGUCAGAUGUGAAAGCCCGGGGCUCAACCUCGGAAUUGCAUUUGAAACUGGCAGACUAGAGUACUGUAGAGGGGGGUAGAAUUUCAGGUGUAGCGGUGAAAUGCGUAGAGAUCUGAAGGAAUACCGGUGGCGAAGGCGGCCCCCUGGACAGAUACUGACACUCAGAUGCGAAAGCGUGGGGAGCAAACAGGAUUAGAUACCCUGGUAGUCCACGCCGUAAACGAUGUCUACUUGGAGGUUGUGGCCUUGAGCCGUGGCUUUCGGAGCUAACGCGUUAAGUAGACCGCCUGGGGAGUACGGUCGCAAGAUUAAAACUCAAAUGAAUUGACGGGGGCCCGCACAAGCGGUGGAGCAUGUGGUUUAAUUCGAUGCAACGCGAAGAACCUUACCUACUCUUGACAUCCAGAGAACUUUCCAGAGAUGGAUUGGUGCCUUCGGGAACUCUGAGACAGGUGCUGCAUGGCUGUCGUCAGCUCGUGUUGUGAAAUGUUGGGUUAAGUCCCGCAACGAGCGCAACCCUUAUCCUUGUUUGCCAGCGAGUAAUGUCGGGAACUCCAGGGAGACUGCCGGUGAUAAACCGGAGGAAGGUGGGGACGACGUCAAGUCAUCAUGGCCCUUACGAGUAGGGCUACACACGUGCUACAAUGGCGCAUACAGAGGGCAGCCAACUUGCGAAAGUGAGCGAAUCCCAAAAAGUGCGUCGUAGUCCGGAUUGGAGUCUGCAACUCGACUCCAUGAAGUCGGAAUCGCUAGUAAUCGUGGAUCAGAAUGCCACGGUGAAUACGUUCCCGGGCCUUGUACACACCGCCCGUCACACCAUGGGAGUGGGCUGCAAAAGAAGUAGGUAGUUUAACCUUCGGGGGGACGCUUACCACUUUGUGGUUCAUGACUGGGGUGAAGUCGUAACAAGGUAGCGCUAGGGGAACCUGGCGCUGGAUCACCUCCUUAAACGAUGAU